AUGAAUCCCAACUGCUCCUGCUCAGCAGGUGACUCCUGUGCCUGUGCUGCCUCCUGCAAGUGCAAAGAGUGCAAAUGCAAGUCCUGCAAGAAAAGCUGCUGCUCCUGCUGCCCCGUGGGUUGUGCCAAGUAUGCCCAGAGCUAGGUCUGCAAAGGGGCAUCAGACAAGUGCAUCUGCUAUGUGUGA